rnacentral:rRNA from 1 species
AUUGAACGCUGGCGGCAGGCCUAACACAUGCAAGUCGAACGAGUGGCGGACGGGUGUGUAAUGUCUGGGAAACUGCCUGAUGGAGGGGGAUAACUAUUGGAAACGGUCGCUAAUACCGCAUACCAUCAGAUGUGCCCAGAUGGGAUGAGCUAGUUGGUGGGGUAACGGCUCACCAAGGCCACGAUCCCUAGCUGGUCUGAGAGGAUGACCAGCAACACGGGAAAGGAGGCACGGUCCAGAAUCCAACGGGAGGCAGCGGUGGGGAAUAUUGCACAAAGGGCGCAAGCCUGGUGCAGCCAUGCCGCGUGUAUGAAGAAGGCCUUCGGGUUGUAAGGUACUUUCAGCGGGGAGGCGUUACCCGAAGAAGAAGCACCGGCUAACUCCGUGCCAGCAGCCGCGGUAAUUC